rnacentral:rRNA from 1 species
UAGGGAAUCUUCCGCAAUGGGCGAAAGCCUGACGGAGCAACGCCGCGUGAGUGAUGAAGGUCUUCGGAUCGUAAAACUCUGUUAUUAGGGAAGAACAAAUGUGUAAGUAACUAUGCACGUCUUGACGGUACCUAAUCAGAAAGCCACGGCUAACUACGUGCCAGCAGCCGCGGUAAUACGUAGGUGGCAAGCGUUAUCCGGAAUUAUUGGGCGUAAAGCGCGCGUAGGCGGGUUUUUAAGUCUGAUGUGAAAGCCCACGGCUCAACCGUGGAGGGUCAUUGGAAACUGGAAAACUUGAGUGCAGAAGAGGAAAGUGGAAUUCCAUGUGUAGCGGUGAAAUGCGCAGAGAUAUGGGGGAACCCCAGUGGCGAAGGCGACUUUCUGGUCUGUCACUGACGCUGAUGUGCGAAAGCGUGGGGAUCAAACAGG